rnacentral:rRNA from 1 species
CGGGUGAGUAACGCGUAUCCAACCUUCCCAUAACUAAGGGAUAACCUACCGAAAGGCAGACUAAUACAUUAUGUAAUUCUUAGAUGACAUCAGAAGAGAAUGAAAGAUUUAUCGGUUAUGGAUGGGGAUGCGUCUGAUUAGCUUGUUGGCGGGGUAGCAGCCCACCAAGGCAACGAUCAGUAGGGGUUCUGAGAGGAAGGUCCCCCACAUUGGAACUGAGACACGGUCCAAACUCCUACGGGAGGCAGCAGUGAGGAAUAUUGGUCAAUGGGCGAGAGCCUGAACCAGCCAAGUAGCGUGCAGGAUGACGGCCCUAUGGGUUGUAAACUGCUUUUGUAUGGGGAUAAAGUCAAUCACGUGUGAUUGUUUGCAGGUACCAUACGAAUAAGGACCGGCUAAUUCCGUGCCAGCAGCCGCGGUAAUACGGAAGGUUCGGGCGUUAUCCGGAUUUAUUGGGUUUAAAGGGAGCGUAGGCCGGAGAUUAAGUGUGUUGUGAAAUGUAGACGCUCAACGUCUGACUUGCAGCGCAUACUGGUUUCCUUGAGUACGCACAACGUUGGCGGAAUUCGUCGUGUAGCGGUGAAAUGCUUAGAUAUGACGAAGAACUCCGAUUGCGAAGGCAGCUGACGGGAGCGCCACUGACGCUUAAGCUCGAAGGUGCGGGUAUCGAACAGGAUUAGAUACCCUGGUAGUCCGCACAGUAAACGAUGGAUGCCCGCUGUUGGUACCUAGUAUCAGCGGUAAGCGAAGCAUUAAGCAUCCCACCUGGGGAGUACGCCGGCAACGGU